GAAUUCAACUCCUACGGGAGGCAGCAGUGGGGAAUUUUGGACAAUGGGCGCAAGCCUGAUCCAGCAAUGCCGCGUGAGUGAAGAAGGCCUUCGGGUUGUAGAGCUCUUUUGUCAGGGAAGAAACGGUGGGAGCUAAUAUCUCCCACUAAUGACGGUACCUGAAGAAUAAGCACCGGCUAACUACGUGCCAGCAGCCGCGGUAAUACGUAGGGUGCAAGCGUUAAUCGGAAUUACUGGGCGUAAAGCGUGCGCAGGCGGUUUUGUAAGUCUGACGUGAAAGCCCCGGGCUCAACCUGGGAAUUGCAUUUGAGACUGCACGGCUAGAGUGUGUCAGAGGGGGGUAGAAUUCCACGUGUAGCAGUGAAAUGCGUAGAUAUGUGGAGGAAUACCGAUGGCGAAGGCAGCCCCCUGGGAUAACACUGACGCUCAUGCACGAAAGCGUGGGGAGCAAACAGGAUUAGAUACCCUAGUAGUCCAGGCGUU
rnacentral:rRNA from 1 species